rnacentral:misc_RNA from 1 species
GAUGACGAACGUAGCGAAAUGCGAUAAGUAAUGUGAAUUGCAGAAUUCAGUGAAUCAUCGAGUUUUUGAACGCAUAUUGCGCCCUCUGGUAUUCCGGGGGGCAUGCCUGUUCGAGCGUCAUUAAAUAACCCUCAAGCAUAGCUUGGUGUUGGGCUUUUUUACGUCCUUGACUGGGAUGGGCCUAAAAAUUAGUGGCGAUGGCUUUUUUACUUUCAAGCGUAGUAAAUCUCGUCUUGCUAAAGAGGAAAAAGAUUUUUUUUCUGCCAAAAAUUUUAACAUUUAAAGUUGACCUCGGAUCAGGUAGGAUUACCCGCUGAACUUAAGCAUAUCAAUAAGCGGAGGA